rnacentral:rRNA from 1 species
UACCAGCACCCCGAGUGGUCGGGACGAUUAUUGGGCCUAAAGCAUCCGUAGCCGGUCCUGCAAGUCUUCCGUUAAAUCCAGCUGCUCAACAGAUGGGCUGCGGGGGAUACUACAGGGCUAGGAGGCGGGAGAGGCAAGCGGUACUUUAUGGGUAGGGGUAAAAUCCGUUGAUCCAUAGAAGACCACCAGUGGCGAAGGCGAGUCCCUGGACGACUCCUGACACUGAGGCACGAAAGCUAGGGGAGCAAACAGG